rnacentral:rRNA from 1 species
CCUACGGGAGGCAGCAGUGGGGAAUUUUGGACAAUGGGCGCAAGCCUGAUCCAGCCAUGCCGCGUGUGGGAAGAAGGCCUUCGGGUUGUAAACCACUUUUGUCAGGGAAGAAACGGCCUUUUCUAAUACAAGGGGCUAAUGACGGUACCUGAAGAAUAAGCACCGGCUAACUACGUGCCAGCAGCCGCGGUAAUACGUAGGGUGCAAGCGUUAAUCGGAAUUACUGGGCGUAAAGCGUGCGCAGGCGGCUUUGCAAGACAGAUGUGAAAUCCCCGGGCUCAACCUGGGAACUGCAUUUGUGACUGCAUGGCUAGAGUACGGUAGAGGGGGAUGGAAUUCCGCGUGUAGCAGUGAAAUGCGUAGAUAUGCGGAGGAACACCGAUGGCGAAGGCAAUCCCCUGGACCUGUACUGACGCUCAUGCACGAAAGCGUGGGGAGCAAACAGGAUUAGAUACCCUGGUAGUCCACGCCCUAAACGAUGUCAACUGGUUGUUGGACGGCUUGCUGUUCAGUAACGAAGCUAACGCGUGAAGUUGACCGCCUGGGGAGUACGGCCGCAAGGUUGAAACUCAAAUGAAUUGACCGGNUGAGAGNGCGAGACGACGACGAGGGAGGAGG